ACCUUCGUGGUGUAGUGGUCAGUACGCUCGACGCGUAAUCGAGUUGUCCAUGGUUCGAUUCCCAGCGAGGGCG
rnacentral:tRNA from 1 species